UGUUCCCACCCUCUCUCUUUUCUUUUCCUUCUCUUUCAGGGAAACACAAGAAAAAGAAGAAGAGAAAUUUAACAAACAUGCUUGCAAGGAACCUAACUCCUGUGAACAGUUACCUCUCUCUCAAGCAAUGGAUUUUUUUUUUUUUCCUGCAAUUUUCCUCCAAGAGGGAAUCAGGUCGUUCUUGCUUGAUGGUGCUAUUGAAAGUCGAUGUGGAACUCACCAUUGUUGGGGAGAAGCUGUUUUUGUUUUGAGAGUCUCUCUCGAAAUUCAUGUCGGUAUGCAUUGGAAUUUCAAUCUGGGAACCUUAAUUCAACUCUUUUUUUUUUCCCCUUAAGUUCUUAAGGAUAAUCCUUAUGUUUAAAAUGUGUUCCCUUUGGCUGAAGUGUUCAUUAAUCUUCAUAAAAACUGCCAUUUGGCUGAAGUGUGUUGAUCAAACUGAAGGAAAAUUUAUGUACUGAAGUGCAGGUUUGUCAGAACUCUUUACUUGGAGGUGGAUGCUAAUUUUGUGUUCUCUAAGAUGGUUAACAGUUAGGUGAUGAGGAAAAUUUAAUAUGGAAUUGGAUCCUUACAUCUUAGCUAUUGAUUUGUGGGCAAAAUAAGCUACUUGAUCUCUCAUACUGGUACAUCUUUACUCCAGGGUCCAUCAAUCAGAAGAACUUUUCCGGUC